rnacentral:tRNA from 1 species
ACUUUCAAAGGACAACAGCUCGCCCAUCAAUCUUAGGAGUUGACACCUCUUGGUGCAACUCCAGGUGAAAGUA